rnacentral:lncRNA from 1 species
ACUUCCACUAGUCAGGCAAGCCUGCCUUGUUCUGAUGGCUUUUUUGAGCAAUUUAUUAACUUAUAGUGAUUUCUCAAAGUCCUCUAGACUUCCCUCUCUAUCUAUGAGUCUUUAUUGGGGCUUCUGCAACUAGCUGUGCCUACUCUGUUCAUAUCAUUACCAGCCUUACUUUGCCUUUCCACAGCAGACUAGCCGGCCUUUCUCCUAUCCUUUUUUUCAUCCUGAUUUCAGAAAGGUCACCCUCUACUUCUUUUCCAAAGGGUGAUUCAGGGAUCCCUCAUGGCAAUUCCCAACAGAGCAAUACCAUGCACCUCCUGCUGCCCCAUUUAAAUGGUCUGAACUGCGUGGCUUUUCAUCUACUCUCUCUUUAGAGUGAAGCUGCAAAGUGGAGAAGACUUGAAUGGCCUUGUAUCUUCAAAGAAGCUCCUUGAGCUCUGGAAUGCAACCGAGUGGGAGAAACCACUGAACAUCAGGAAAUGUCAACAAUGCAGCAGAAACCCCUGGCAGAGUCCAUGUGGGAUGGCUAACAGGAUGAAGAGAAGCCAGGUAGCUGUGGUUUUUUUUAACCUCGAUGCCUUCAUCUUCUGGAUUUCCUAUUUUGGAACACCUCAUAAUUUCUCAUGCCAUUAAUAUGCAUCCCAUUUUGUAUGACAUAGAAACUGAAGAUUACAUGAACU